GAUGAACGCUGGCGGCGUGCCUAAUACAUGCAAGUCGAGCGAACGGACGAGAAGCUUGCUUCUCUGAUGUUAGCGGCGGACGGGUGAGUAACACGUGGAUAACCUACCUAUAAGACUGGGAUAACUUCGGGAAACCGGAGCUAAUACCGGAUGAUAUUUUGAACCGCAUGGUUCAAAAGUGAAAGACGGUCUUGCUGUCACUUAUAGAUGGAUCCGCGCUGCAUUAGCUAGUUGGUAAGGUAACGGCUUACCAAGGCAACGAUGCAUAGCCGACCUGAGGGGGUGAUCGGCCACACUGGAACUGAGACACGGUCCAGACUCCUACGGGAGGCAGCAGUAGGGAAUCUUCCGCAAUGGGCGAAAGCCUGACGGAGCAACGCCGCGUGAGUGAUGAAGGUCUUCGGAUCGUAAAACUCUGUUAUUAGGGAAGAACAGAUGUGUAAGUAACUGUGCACAUCUUGACGGUACCUAAUCAGAAAGCCACGGCUAACUACGUG
rnacentral:rRNA from 1 species